UUUGUUCCUGAGCUGUCAUGCUCGCUAGGCGAGCAGAAUGGUUCGCUUAGCGAAAGGAACUGUCAUGCUCGCUAAGCGAGCAGAUCCUUCGUUAGGCGACGCGCACGCGUUUUCAGAAAAUAACAGAAAGUUUUGGGCUUGAGUUGUCCUCAUCUGAGCCCAUAGAGUCACGAAAUUAGCUUAUAAAUACUAGAGUUUCAGUUGGAGA
rnacentral:lncRNA from 1 species